GCCUGGGUGGCUCAGUUGGUUGAGCAUCUGACUUCGGCUCAGGUCAUGAUCUCGCAGUUUGUGGGUUUGAGCCCCACGUCGGGUU
rnacentral:tRNA from 1 species